rnacentral:rRNA from 1 species
AUUGAACGCUGGCGGCAGGCCUAACACAUGCAAGUCGAGCGGAUGAAGGGAGCUUGCUCCUGGAUUCAGCGGCGGACGGGUGAGUAAUGCCUAGGAAUCUGCCUGGUAGUGGGGGAUAACGUCCGGAAACGGGCGCUAAUACCGCAUACGUCCUGAGGGAGAAAGUGGGGGAUCUUCGGACCUCACGCUAUCAGAUGAGCCUAGGUCGGAUUAGCUAGUUGGUGGGGUAAAGGCCUACCAAGGCGGCGAUCCGUAACUGGUCUGAGAGGAUGAUCAGUCACAUGGGAACUGAGACACGGUCCAGACUCCUACGGGAGGGAGCAGUGGGGAAUAUUGGACAAUGGGCGAGAGCAUGAUCCAGCCAUGCCGCGUGUGUGACGAAGGUCUUCGGAUUGUAAAGCACUUCAAGUUGGGAGAAAGGGCAGUAAGUUAAUACCUUGCUGUUUUGACGUUACCAACAGAAUAAGCACCGGCUAACUUCGUG